GGUAUUGUAAUAAGAUUUUAAUUGAAUGCUAAAAGAAUGGAAGUUUAAAAAAAUUCUUUUUUAAAAUUAAAAAUUGAAUUUUUUUUAAUUUGUGAAUAAACAAUUAUAAAAAUUAAAGACAAGAAGACCCUAAGAAUUUGAAGAUCAAAUAAAUAAAAAAUUUUUUAUUUAUUUGAUCUUGAUUGGGGCGAUCAAAAAAUAUUAAUAACUUUUUAAAUUAAAAUGAUCUAUUAAUAAUAAACUAAUGAAAUAAAUACUCUAGGGAUAACAGCGUAAUAAUUUUUGAUAGAUCUUAUAGACAAAAUAGUUUGCGACCUCGAUGUUGGAUUAGGAUUCUUAUUUAAUGAAGAUGU
rnacentral:rRNA from 1 species